UGGGGAAUAUUGGACAAUGGGCGAAAGCCUGAUCCAGCCAUGCCGCGUGUGUGAAGAAGGUCUUCGGAUUGUAAAGCACUUUAAGUUGGGAGGAAGGGCAUUAACCUAAUACGUUAGUGUUUUGACGUUACCGACAGAAUAAGCACCGGCUAACUCUGUGCCAGCAGCCGCGGUAAUACAGAGGGUGCAAGCGUUAAUCGGAAUUACUGGGCGUAAAGCGCGCGUAGGUGGUUUGUUAAGUUGGAUGUGAAAGCCCCGGGCUCAACCUGGGAACUGCAUCCAAAACUGGCAAGCUAGAGUACGGUAGAGGGUGGUGGAAUUUCCUGUGUAGCGGUGAAAUGCGUAGAUAUAGGAAGGAACACCAGGGCGAAGGCGACCACCUGGACUGAUACUGACACUGAGGUGCGAAAGCGUGGGGAGCAAACA
rnacentral:rRNA from 1 species